rnacentral:rRNA from 1 species
AGCGAACGCUGGCGGCAGGCCUAAAACAUGCAAGUCGAGCGCCGUAGCAAUACGGAGCGGCAGACGGGUGAGUAACACGUGGGAACGUGCCCUUUGGUUCGGAACAACACAGGGAAACUUGUGCUAAUACCGGAUAAGCCCUUACGGGAAAGAUUAUCGCCAAAGGAUCGGCCCGCGUCUGAUUAGCUAGUUGGGUGGGGUAACGGGACCCGACCCAACGGACGACGAUACAGUAGCUGGUCUGAGAGGAUGAUCAGCCACACUGGGAC